CUUUCGGUCGGUGUUUGUUGAGCAACGAGCAUGUUUGGUCAGGACGGCUGACACUGGGCUUUCCCUGGACUCGCGGGGCUGAGAUGAAUGAACCCAGGCAUCACCGAUGCUUCCGUGGCCACAAUUGGGUGUAGUCUUAGGAGACUGUUCCAAGGUGGGAAAAAACAAGAAAGCAAGACCCUGCGUGUCAUGAGUGGGAACCUGUGGCUCUAAACAUGUUCUCAGUGGAGUGGAAAGCAAAAGGCAGGCUUCCUCGUCCGGCAGCCAGGCAAGGCUGUGGCCCGUUCAGACUGGCUGAAGCAUAUGGAGGUUCCAUGGUAGGGGUCGAACUGGAACUGAAGCUGCCAGCCUAUACCACAGCCCCAGCAACACAGGAUCCGAGCUGCAUCUUCAACCUUCACCACAACUCAGGGCAACACCAGCUCCUUAACCAACUGAGGGAGGCCGGGGAUGGAAGCUGCGUCCUCCUGGAUGCUGGUUAGAUUCGUCAUCCGCUAAGCCCCAGUGGGCACUCCUUCCCUGAUGUCCUUGUUUCUGCAGUUCAGCACCCGCUGUUCUCAUCGCCCUUCUUCACAACCUCUGAGUCCUUUCUGCUCCCUCACUGCUCCUUCCUCCCCGGGCACAACUCCUGCCUCAUCGCAGACCCAAAAGCUGUCUCCAGGCACUGGGUAAAAUCGCAGGCUGUAGGAAAAGCCGGUUUUAAAAAAGGAACCCAGAUCAGGCAUCUGUGAGAGCCUGGACCGUCCAUCUCCCCGCAAAAAGAGAGUGACGUCAAUGAAGACAAAAUAGCAUCUGAGGAAAGAAAGAGCCGGUCAUCUUACAGGUUUGUUUAAAGCCACGAAUUUACGUGUCCAAGAAGCUUCGCAAAUGAAAACCAGCACAGGCUUUAUGAAGUCCGCUCACCCAUCACAGUCGUAAUGAAACCUGUGGAAACGAUGAGAAGCGUCCAGAGACGAUGUCAUGUUCCAUCCGGAGGAGAAGCGGUUCGGACGAGUCGAGCUUCCACCUCCGAAACCAGUGCUGUCAGCAGAGGGGGCAUUCUGGAGAGACGGAACGGGCCGGCCUGGGAGUCUCCUGGCGACAUUCUUGGGGCGUGAAGGUGAAACGGGCAUCGUCAGAGGGAGGAAUGUGGAGAGACUUGGUGCCCAUGAACCUGCUCAAAGGGAAAUGGUGAGGGGGAGUCUUCGGGCGGAAAGGAGGCCAUUCUUGGGGGCACUUGCAGCGUCACCAGUGAAGGGAGACCCCCAGGUGGGCAGUAGAAGGUGCAGGUAAUUGCCUGUGGUCUCCCCUCAGGUCUUUGAAACGCAUGGGGCUGUUGAAAGCAAACAUCGCGUGUGGUGGGGAGUUUGGUGCAUGCAGACGAAGACGCAGAGCAGCUGCAGCGAGAGGGCGGGGGGUGCAGGGGUCUUAGGAUGGUGCGGGUUCUGUGUUUCUCUGAGGCGCUGACAACAUUCGGUCUGACAUUGGGCGUGCGUAUUAUACCUCCUGGUGCAGCCACUUGCACAGCACAGCAAGAGCUACAACUGGAACACCAGUGGAUACAGUGGAUACUAAGAAAUAUUCCCAAAGCCAGAAGGAGGCAGGAGAGGGACACUCGAAGAGCAAACAAGAGCAGGGACAAGGAGCAGAACGAAGGAUGAGUCUUGAUACAGCCUCGAUGGUCAUUCCAUGACCUGUGAGCGGUGACAGCACCACUAACUGGUGAACAUUGUCAGACUGGACCAAGAAUUAAAGGGCCCCAUUUGGGAAUUUGGAAAUUAAAGGGCACCCUUCUGCCUAAUGCACGAGGCAAAGAAGACCUCAGGGAAAACUGGAAACUAUUUUGAACUGGAUGGAAAUGAAAGUACAGCCCCCUCGUCUUUGGGGGAUGCAGCCAAAGCCAUGUUUAGGGGGAACGGAGACCAGCACGUGUUGGUGGAAGGUCCAGUGUCCACACUGGGGCAGAGGCUGGAGAGCAGCCCCUGAACCAGCGGCCCCGUCCCUGGGUUACCAAGGGCCCUGUAUGUGGUGGGGCUCUGGGGGAUGGUGACACCACAGUCAAAGCCCCAAGGGCUGAAGUUCCCACUGUGGCUCAGUGGUUAACGAAUUCAACGAGGAACCAUGAGGUUGCGGGUUCCAUCCCUGGCCCAGCUCAGUGGGUUAAGGAUCCAGCGUUGCCGUGAACUGUGGUGUAGGUUGCAGUCGCAGCUCGGAUCCCGCAUUGCUGUGGCUCUGGUGUAGGCUGGCGGCUACAGCUCUGAUUAGACCCCUAGCCUGGGAACCUCCAUAUGCCGUGGGAGUGGCCCUAGAAAAGGCAAAAAAAAGACAGGAAAAAAAAAAAGUCCCAAGGGCUUUGUGCCCACCCCUGUGGACACGUCUCUUUCCUUGAGAGCCUCUUCUCCUCCCUGAGUCCAGGGACGUCUCUCUGUCUAGCCUGUUCUCCUGCCCACGAGUGUAGUAUCCUGUUCAGCCCCCAGAUGUCUGCGCAUUGGAAGCAUUUUCUAAAUUUAUUCAUUAAAAU
rnacentral:lncRNA from 1 species